UAUUGCGCAAUGGGGGCAACCCUGACGCAGCCAUGCCGCGUGAAUGAAGAAGGCCUUCGGGUUGUAAAGUUCUUUCGGUGAUGAGGAAGGAGGACGUUUAAAUAGGGCAUUCAAUUGACGUUAAUCACAGAAGAAGCACCGGCUAACUCCGUGCCAGCAGCCGCGGUAAUACGGAGGGUGCGAGCGUUAAUCGGAAUAACUGGGCGUAAAGGGCACGCAGGCGGAUAAUUAAGUGAGAUGUGAAAUCCCCGAGCUUAACUUGGGAAUUGCAUUUCAUACUGGUUAUCUAGAGUCUUGUAGAGAGGGGUAGAAUUCCACGUGUAGCGGUGAAAUGCGUAGAGAUGUGGAGGAAUACCGGAGGCGAAGGCGGCCCCUGGACAAAGACUGACGCUCAUUGCGAAA
rnacentral:rRNA from 1 species